rnacentral:rRNA from 1 species
CCUACGGGUGGCAGCAGUAGGGAAUAUUGCUCAAUGGGGGAAACUCUGAAGCAGCAACGCCGCGUGGAGGAUGAAGGUUCUAGGAUUGGAAACUCUUUUUGUUAGAGAAGUUUAUGACUGUAUCUAACGAAUAAGCACCGGCUAACUCCGUGCCAGCAGCGGCGGUAAUACGGCGGAUGCAAGCGUUAUUCGGAAUCACUGGGCGUAAAGAGUGCGUAGGUGGGGUAAUAAGUCAGAUGUGAAAUCCUGAAGCUUAACUGUAGAAUUGCAUUUGAAACUGUUAAUCUGGAGUGUAGGAGAGGUAGGUGGAAUUCGUGGUGUAGGGGUAAAAUGCUGAGAUAGCAAGAAGAAUACUGAUUGCGAAGG